CCUUACCUACCCUUGACAUGUCUGGAAUCCUGAAAAGAUUUGGGAGUGCUCGAAAGAGAGCCAGAACACAGGUGCUGCAUGGCCGUCGUCAGCUCGUGUCGUGAGAUGUUGGGUUAAGUCCCGCAACGAGCGCAACCCUUGUCAUUAGUUGCUACGAAAGGGCACUCUAAUGAGACUGCCGGUGACAAACCGGAGGAAGGUGGGGAUGACGUCAGGUCAUCAUGGCCCUUAUGGGUAGGGCUACACACGUCAUACAAUGGCCGGGACAGAGGGCUGCCAACCCGCGAGGGGGAGCUAAUCCCAGAAGCCCGGUCGUAGUCCGGAUCGUAGUCUGCAACUCGACUGCGUGAAGUCGGAAUCGCUAGUAAUCGCGGAUCAGCUUGCUGCGGUGAAUACGUUCCCGGGUCUUGUACACACCGCCCGUCACACCAUGGGAGCGGGUUCUGCCAGAAGUAGUUAGCCUAACCGCAAGGAGGGCGAUUACCACGGCA
rnacentral:rRNA from 1 species